UACGUAGGGGGCUAGCGUUGUCCGGAUUUAUUGGGCGUAAAGAGCGUGUAGGCGGCCGAGUAAGUCCGGUGUGAAAACUCGAGGCUUAACCUCGAGAUGUCAUCGGAACUAUUCGGCUAGAGUCCGGAAGAAGAGAGUGGAAUUCCUGGUGUAGCGGUGAAAUGCGCAGAUAUCAGGAAGAACACCUAUGGCGAAAGCAGCUCUCUGGGACGGUACUGACGCUGAGACGCGAAAGCGUGGGGAGCGAACAGG
rnacentral:rRNA from 1 species